rnacentral:rRNA from 1 species
UACAGAGGUCUCAAGCGUUGUUCGGAUUCAUUGGGCGUGAAGGGUGUGUAGGUGGCGCCGUAAGUCGGGUGUGAAAUUUCGAGGCUUAACCUCGAAACUGCAUUCGAUACUGCGGUGCUUGAGGACUGGAGAGGAGACUGGAAUUCAUGGUGUAGCAGUGAAAUGCGUAGAUAUCAUGAGGAAGACCAGUGGCGAAGGCGGGUCUCUGGACAGUUCCUGACACUGAGACACGAAGGCCAGGGGAGCAAACGGG